GCAUUUCCCUGCGCGCCCUGCGUGUUGACCCUCCAAGCCUGCGUGGUCAGCCGCAUGGGCACUUUGCAGAAGGGCCUGAAAAACUGCACAUAGAAGGGUGGGGGUGUGUAUACAUCAGAAUGGAACCCCAUCUGUACUUCUCAUGGGCCUCUUGCAUUCCCGUGUGUCCUCGGAAUCACCUACUGCGUGUGAGAGCUGGCUCAAGUCUGCAGCGCAGCUGGUCUCAGGAGCCUCCCACUCCACUUGGAAAGAGUGGCCAGGAGCCCAUCUGCCUCUGCAGCCCACCUGCCUCUGCAGCCCAGGGUAGGAAUGUAACUGUUGCUGCUGUACUCACAUCUGACCUUCCUUCAGCUGAUCUUCGCCCCUUUUACCAGAUCUCCUCUUUCACUUUACAAUUUCAGAAGCCUCAGAUUACAAUCCUCUCCAUUCCCUCAAACAGUUGCAUCUGGCAAUAGCGACCAUGGCUGCCCCAUUGGAAGGGACUGUUAACAGAAAAUGGCAUGAGGCCUUUGGAGGAGGGGAGCUACGUCUUCAUAACACUAACAGAAACAAACCCGAGGUUAAAUAAAGUGAACCAGG